UACGUAGGGGGCAAGCGUUGUCCGGAAUCAUUGGGCGUGAAGCGCGUGUAGGCGGUUCGGUAAGUCUGCUGUGAAAGUCCAGGGCUCAACCCGUGGAUGCCGGUGGAUACUGUCGAGCUCGAGUCCGGAAGAGGCGAGUGGAAUUCCUGGUGUAGCGGUGAAAUGCGCAGAUAUCAGGAGGAACACCGAUGGCGAAGGCAGCUCGCUGGGACGUGACUGACGCUGAGACGCGAAAGCGUGGGGAGCAAACAGG
rnacentral:rRNA from 1 species